rnacentral:rRNA from 1 species
AGAGUUUGAUCCUGGCUCAGGNUUAANGCUAGCGGCAGGCAUAAUACAUGCAAGUUGAACGAGAUAAGUUGUAGCAAUACGGCUUUGAAAGUGGCGCACGGGUGCGUAACACGUAUGCAACCUACCUUUUACUGGGGAAUAGCCUCUCGAAAGAGAGAUUAAUACCCCAUGAUAUGUUCCGAAGGCAUCUUUGGGAUCUUAAAGCUCCGGCGGUAAAAGAUGGGCAUGCGGUUGAUUAGCUAGUUGGUGAGGUAAUGGCUCACCAAGGCUUCGAUCAAUAGGGGGUCUGAGAGGAUGUCCCCCCACACUGGUACUGAGACACGGACCAGACUCCUACGGGAGGCAGCAGUAGGGAAUAUUGGACAAUGGGCGCAAGCCUGAUCCAGCCAUGCCGCGUGCAGGAUGAAGGCCCUAUGGGUCGUAAACUGCUUUUGUACGGGAAGAAACCUCACUACGAGUAGUGAGUUGACGGUACCGUGAGAAUAAGGAUCGGCUAACUUCGUGCCAGCAGCCGCGGUAAUACGAAGGAUCCAAGCGUUGUCCGGAUUUACUGGGUUUAAAGGGUGCGUAGGCGGACUUUUAAGUCAGUGGUGAAAGCCUGUAGCUUAACUAUAGAAUUGCCAUUGAAACUGAAAGUCUCGAGUGUGGUUGAGGUAACUGGAAUAUAUCAUGUAGCGGUGAAAUGCUUAGAUAUGAUAUAGAACACCAAUCGCGAAGGCAGGUUACUGAGCCACAACUGACGCUGAGGCACGAAAGCGUGGGGAUCAAACAGGAUUAGAUACCCUGGUAGUCCACGCCGUAAACGUUGAAUACUCGAUCUUAGCGAUACACAGUUAGGAUCCAAGCGAAAGCGUUAAGUAUUCCACCU